rnacentral:rRNA from 1 species
GGAAUUUUAUUGAGAGUUUGAUCCUGGCUCAGGAUGAACGCUGGCGGAGUGCCUUAAGCAUGCAAGUGGAACGGUCGCCGCGAGGCGACAGUCGCAGACGGGUGAGUACAGCAUAGGAAUCUACCCUGGGGUGGGGAAUAACUCGGCGAAAGCUGAGCUAAUUCCGCAUAAGCCCGCAAGGGGAAAGGCCGUAACUGGCCGCCGAAGGAGGAGCCUAUGUCCUAUCAGCUAGUUGGUGGGGUAACGGCCUACCAAGGCAAUGACGGGUAGCUGGACUGAGAGGUCGGUCAGCCACAAUAGCACUUAGACACGGGCUAUACAUCUACGGAUGGCAGCAACUGGGAAUAUUGCGCAAUGGACGAAAGUCUGAC